GCAGUCUCAAGUUUGAGAACUGCUGGCUUUUACAGAACAUAAAGCGAAGGUUGAGCCCCAAGGGAGUGGUGGGAAGUUGCUCUAAGAAGAGACAAGGUGGCCCCUCUGGCCUGUGUGAGCGGAAGGCAGCUGCGCUGUGAGCAAGAUCUCGGGAGAUGAGAGUCUGAAGCUUAUGUGUGAAGAAGGUCCUUGCUUCCCCUUCACCUUCUGCCAUGAUUCUAAGUUUCCUGACGCCUCCCAGCCGUGCUUCCUGUUAAGCCUGUGAAACUGUGAGUCAAUCAAACCCUUUUCUUCAUAAAUUACCCAGUUUCAGGUAGCUCUUUAUAGCAGUGUGAAAAUGGACUAAUACAGAAAAUUGGUACCAGAGAGGUGGGGCAUUCCUAUAAAGAUACCUGAAGAUGUAGAAGCAAUUUUGGAAUUUGGGUAAUGGGCAGAGGUUACAACAAUUUGGAGGGCUCAGAAGAUAGGAAGAUGAGGGGAAGUUUGGAACUUCCUAGAGACUUGUUCAAUGGUUUUGACCAAAAUACUGAUAGUGAUGAAUAGUGAAGUCCAGGCUGAGGUGGUCUCAGAUGGAAAUGAGGAACUUACUGGGAAUUGGAGCAAAGGUCACUCUUGCUAUGCUUUAGCAAAGAGACUGGUGGCAUGGUGCCCCUGCUCUAGGGAUCUGUGGAAAGAAAUUUCUAGGCAGUAAAGUGUUCAAGAUGUGAUCUGGCUGCUUCUAACAGUGUAUAGUCAUAUGUAUUCAUAAAGAGAUGUUCUGAAAUUGGAACUUACAUUAAAAAGGGAAGCUGAAUAUAAAAGUUUGGAAACUUUGCAGCCUGACCAUGUGGUACAAAAGAAAAAAAAACAUAUUUCUGAGGAGAAUUCAAGCCAGCUGCAGAGAUUUGCGUAAGUAAAGAGGAGCCAAAUGUUAAUAGCUGAGACAAUGGGGAAAAUGUCUCCAGGGCGU
rnacentral:lncRNA from 1 species